GACGAACGCUGGCGGCGUGCUUAACACAUGCAAGUCGAACGGAAAGGCCCUGCUUUUGUGGGGUGCUCGAGUGGCGAACGGGAGAGUAACACGUGAGUAACCUGCCCUUGACUUUGUGAUAACUUCAGGAAACUGGGGCUAAUACCGGAUAGGAGCUCCUGCUGCAUGGUGGGGGUUGGAAAGUUUCGGGGGGUGGGGAUGGACUCGCGGCUUAUCAGCUUUUUGGUGGGGUAGUGGCUUACCAAGGCUUUGACGGGUGGCCGGGCUGAGCGGGUGACCCGACACACUGGGCCUGAGCUGAGGCACAGACUACACCGCGAGGGAGCAGAGGAGUAUAGUGUACUAUGGGAGGAAGCCAGACGCAGUCCAGCCGCGUCGGGGGAGACGGCAAUCGGGUUGGAUACCGAUUUCGCCUGUGACGAAGAGAGAGUGACGGUAAUGGGUAAAGAAGCCCCGGCUAACUACGUG
rnacentral:rRNA from 1 species